CUACGGGUUGCACCAGUGGGGAAUAUUGCACAAUGGGCGCAAGCCUGAUGCAGCCAUGCCGCGUGUAUGAAGAAGGCCUUCGGGUUGUAAAGUACUUUCAGCGGGGAGGAAGGGAGUAAAGUUAAUACCUUUGCUCAUUGACGUUACCCGCAGAAGAAGCACCGGCUAACUCCGUGCCAGCAGCCGCGGUAAUACGGAGGGUGCAAGCGUUAAUCGGAAUUACUGGGCGUAAAGCGCACGCAGGCGGUUUGUUAAGUCAGAUGUGAAAUCCCCGGGCUCAACCUGGGAACUGCAUCUAAUACUGGCAAGCUUGAGUCUCGUAGAGGGGGGUAGAAUUCCAGGUGUAGCGGUGAAAUGCGUAGAGAUCUGGAGGAAUACCGGUGGCGAAGGCGGCCCCCUGGACGAAGACUGACGCUCAGGUGCGAAAGCGUGGGGAGCAAACAGGAUUAGAUACCCCUGUAGUC
rnacentral:rRNA from 1 species